CAUUAUGUCGUUUAAGUCAUUAUCGUCUUUGUAAUGUUCGCCCUUAACUCGGUGUACGGUCGGGUGUAAUUCUUGAUUGUCGCCGCUCAUCAUCCCAUUAAGUACAUUUUUUUAAUGCAAUCGGCAAAUUUGCCGACUUUAAAAGGUAAUUGCAGAAAAUAAGAAAGUGUGCGUAUGCGUAGUGACAGGAACUGGCGAUGACAAAUGACGGUGUAGCGGUGAGCGGCGGCUCCCACGAGCGGUCUCAUCAAUAUACAUUAGGUAUAGCAGUUACACAUGGACGCAGCACGCCCUGCGCGCCCGACACAGUGCAUCAUCAUCUACCAGUUGCUCGUCAAUUCCUAAUCAAUUCAAUAAAACAUAAAUAACCCUGUCAAAUUAUUGGCAUGGCGUUAUCUGGGAUGUUCCGUAGCCAGUGGCGACAGGCAGUGAUUUACGAGUGGUGUAGUGCGGAGGCUGCGUCGGCUGAGCCGCAGCGGCGACGUCGCCGACGCCGCGUCUGCCCGGCCGCGUCCACUCAUUACGACUAUAUCGAGAGCAUUACAAUGGCAUUACUCAGAUGCACCGGGCGGUGGUGCAGAAAUGGCACGCGCUGGUGCCCCCCUGCGCCCGCGCCGCUGCUGCAAAUAUAGCUGCUGCUGCUGGUUAUUCCGGGCGCGGCCGUCGACCCGUCGCCGCGACGCCGUCUGCUCGCCUUUUUAGCGAACACAACUUACAACACACAUUUUUUGCGAACAAAUAUCGUCGAUGUCAACGUACGCGGUCUUUUACUAUAUUUACUAAGUCAUAUUCUGAGAAAAAAAUGUGAUAUAUUCGCUCCAAUAAAUGUCUCGCCAGUGUUUUCACUUUCAUCGUUAAAUAGGUUCCUCGUGGUCGAGAUUCAUUUAGCUUACAGCGUUAUAUGUAAACAAAAGUGGCUUUCCAUUAGGAUCUAUAAAUGUUAUGAAGAAUUUCCUUCUAGUUCCGAUUGCACAACGUGUAGCGACUUCAGCUGCCUAAUGUCUAGCAGAAUGAAUUAAUUGUGAUUCCGAUAUGGUUUAUAAGCAGUUAAAGCUCGGUAUGGCGGAACUGUAAGCCGGCCGUAAACUCUAUCUGAGGCUCGUAACUAUAAAACGCAUCAAAUCUGAUUCACAGUUGCCUUUGUGAGAACUCCAGUUGGCUGUCUGCCGGCCGACUGCCGUAAUAAUAUAGUUUAUCGUGCUUUUAAUAAAUCCCCAGUACCAUACGAAGACAGUAAAAUGGAUAAUUUUUAAUUGAAUCCAAGCCAGGUGUUGCUGUAAUAAACUAAAUGAAUUUCAUGCCUUCAGAGAGGGAAUCGUUUGCAAUGUCAGUGAAGUGAGAGUUAUUUCGAGCCAAUAUAUGUUUCAAAGAAAUUGUGUUGAUUUAUUUGUUUUCAGAAUUGUAUAACCACGAUUUGACGGUGUCGUGUUGGCAUUGAGAAGAUAAUUUUGUGUUGCUAACUACAUGAACAUAUUUGCACACGAAUAGCUUAUUUACAUCAGUUAAUAAUUGACUCAUACCUCUGGAGUCAGAAUCCGUUGAUAUUUUUCAUGUAAGAAUUUUUUUAUCUCUUACCCUCUUAUUAUAAAACGCGGUAUCAAAUAAGUAUCGGCUUUUGUACUACCUUUAAUCCACCUUUAAGUACGACCUUGAAAAAACGUUAUUACAAAACGCAGUUUAUCGCAAGUCCUAUUACUAUCUGUAGUACAAAAGAUAAACCAUCGAGCUCCCUAGUUUAACUGCAGUACUUAGUCGACAAACGUCAAAUUCCGACAUUAUUUACUUUUGAGGUUAUUUGUUUUGUGAUGAAAAAAAACGAAAGUGGAUAUAAAUAUGUGUGAUUUGUAAUACUUGGAUGUGUUAGAAUACUAUUGAGAGUGUCCGGGGACCCAACAGAAUGCGUCAUCGACAAAAUCUCUUCAAAUUACCUGACGACAAUUUUCGAUAUAAAUAUCGAUUUACGUUUUUCGAAAUAAUAGUCAAUUGAAUGCAUGAUGAUAAUCCAGGAUGAUCCUAUGAUGCUCAACUGGGCUCGCCAUAAAAUUCAAGACUAUUUUGGCGUUUUGCACGCCGUAUCUCUGCCAGUAAUAUGCAAUGUUUGUAAAAGACUGGAAGCUUGCUAAAAUGUACAAAAAUGCCUAGAUGAGAAAGGGAACAAGAUUGUGUGAUGAAGAACAGUGUCCAACAUGUAUCAGUGCAUUUGACUGUAUAAAUAGACAUCGGAAUAAAAUAUAAUUUUCUACUUUUA
rnacentral:lncRNA from 1 species